rnacentral:tRNA from 1 species
UCCCUGGUGGCUCAGACAGUAAAGCAUCUGCCUACAAUGCAGGAGACCCAGGUUUGAUCCCUGGGUUGGGAA